CAGAAAUGAGUUCCUGAUAUUCUGCACAAAGCUGAGACUGCAGCAUCUGGCAGCUGAAUCUCGCAGUGGCAUCUCCGGUCAUGGACUUUCUCCGGCUGUGGCUGCUGCCAAAGUGAAAGCAUGUAGGUUUAUCCCUUUGCCAAAGUUGCCCUCUGCCAAGGAAACUGCUGAAAUUGUCAUUAAGCAUGUGUUUUGGUUCUUCGGGAUUCCACAAGACACUGUCACCAAUAGAAGACCACAAUUUUCUUCCCGCUUCUGGCAUGUCUUCUGUCUGGGUACAACGAUGAGUCUGUCCUCCGGUUUCCACCCAGAGUCUAAUGGACAAACUGAGAGACUGAACCAGGACCUAGAAACCACUCUGAGGUGCAUGACAGCCAACAACCCUACAUCCUGGGCAUUGUUUGGCAUCGUUUGGGCAGGAUAUGCUCAUAACACUCUGCAUUCCUCAACUACUGGUAUGUCCCUCUUUGAGCGCCGGGUUGUGUUUAAACCAACAUUAUUCCCUGACCAAGAGGCAGAGGUUGGGGUUUCAUCUGCUCUACGCUUUGUUCGAUGCUGCUGUCUGACCUGGAGGAGGGCUAGGCUCAGGCUUCUGCAGGCCUUUCAGCAGUAUGAAUGCCAGGCCAAUUGCCAUCAUCGAGCUGCUUCUACCUUACAUCCUGGCCAACGGGUGUGGCUUUCUACUAAGAACCUGCCACUGUGUGUGGAGUCCUGCACACUGACUUGGUGGUUCAUCUGUCCUUUCUGCAUUUCAAGGAAAGUAAAUCUAGUUACCUACCGUUUGUUUUUGACUAGAUCACUAAAAAUUAAUGUCUAAAACCUGUUGUUUCUUCUCCUUUUACUCCCAGAGAUGGACCUCCCCCUCCUUGUCGGAUCAUUGGAGGCACAGCCUGCUCACACGGUCCAUCGGACACUUGACUCUUGCCAAGUACGGAGAUCACUUCAGUACCUGUUGGACUGGGAAGGCUACGGCCCAGAGGAACGCUCCUGGGUCCCAUCCCUGGACAUCCUUGACCUCAAAUUGAUCAGGGAGUUUCACGCUUGUUGACCUGAUCAUCCUGGGAGGACCGUCAGGAGCUGUACCUAGAGGAGGGGUCCUGUCAUGGUUGUGAAUUUUAUUUCUGGCCACUGGAGGCCCCCAUUGCCUAUUUGUAUGUUUUCAGUCUCUGUCAUUAUGUCUAAUAGGUGGCACCUGUUUGUUUGUGUAUGUAAGUCACCCAUUGCCCAAUUUCUUUGUUUCCCAUGCCUUGACCUUUUUCUUAUCCUUAAAAAAAGGAUCUGGUAUAGUUCCUUGUUUUGAUUUCUUGACAAAUGCUCUUCUAAAUGCCUUAUGGAUUUACUUUGUGUACCAAUUGGACUUUUUGGAAAUAUUGAUUUUUUGUAUUUUGAAUGGAUUCCUGUGAAUCUUUGUAUGUUUUUCUGAUUAACCUUGUGGAUUUUGGGGAUUUAUUCUUUGGAACUACAGUCAAGUCUUUUGAGCUGACUUGUGGAUUAUUUAACUUGCAUUAUCAUCUAAUUAAAGAUAAGUAAACAUUUCUCCAGAACUGUGACCUGGUUAUCUGCAACUGGUUUUCUCACUAUUCUUGUCCUCACAUUCCUGAUACUGUAGUUUGAAUAUGUUGUUUGAACCUUUUUUAAUGUUUUAAAUUUACAGCUGUGACAAGUGUUUAUCUUUUUGCAGUGAAAUCAAGAUCACUGAAACGAAAAGCUGAUGAUGUGACCAGUGACUCCACAGAUAAACCGCUCUUAAAGACUUAAAAACUUUUUCCAUGUCCACACUGCAAAGCUGUACUAAGUGUACCCAAAAAGUUACGAACACAACUAUGACACUAUACUCAUGAUACGUAUUGAUGCAAGGAACGAAAUUUAUGUCACUUUAAACUAUGACCAUAGUCCUCUUUUCCCAAUUCAUGUUAUCAAGUCAACCAAUCCACCAAACACUGACCAUGAGGUAGAGAAUUGUUGCCGAUUUAUGCAGAUUGCUUGGUCGUCUGGAAAUCUUGGAAAAGAGUGUGUACACCUUGAAAGAACCAAGAAUGCCAAGUCAUAUGUAAAGCCUGCAGAACUACAGUGUAUCUCACUGAAGGACAUGCUGAGCAAAGGUCUAAUGUCCUCAGAGUGGACUGUCAAAUGUGAACAACUUAACAACGCUGCAACAACCAUGGAGUUGAUGGUGUCAUUCCAGUAUUUUUUUGGAGACGAAGAAUACUCUGAAUGGUGGUAUUUAUUUUUUUUCAGUGUUCACAAAUAAAACAGACAACUGGUGUCAGUUUGGGAGAACAAGAAUGACACUUGAUGCAGUGGUAGGACAGUGGAACUGUCAGUGUCAAAGAACUGGAAGAUCACACUGUUGUGUACAUCGAAUGAUGGGAAUGUGGUGGAUUUUUCAGGAGUCCCCAGGCACCCUAGUGUCAACCUCAGAUAUUCAAGUAGAGGACAUUUGAUUUGGGGACUCACAUGAUUGAAAGCAGAAUCAUGUGCAAGCCACACAAUAUGAACACAAAAAAUCAGUGUUAUGACAGAAUACCUUUCAAAACAAAAUCAACGCAUCCCAUGCCUGCAGGAAUUACCUUUAAAGCUGAGGACUCAGGAGGAAGAACCACCACCAUAUUUUGCUCCCUCAGAAAACACCUGCCCAUAUUGUCCCAGGCCUACCCCUCCAGCACUCAAUACAAGCAAAGAUAUAACCACCCAAGUUGUGGUGUAUGGGAUAAAGCAUGUCCGAAAAGAACAAGACAACCAGUGGAACAAUCUCAAUCUCAUGUCCAACAAUGCUGGACAUUUUGAUAUUUUUCAAUGACAACUGAUAUCAUCACCAGAUACUGAGGAGAGCGUUCCAUCACUUCUUGUCAUUGACAACAUUUAAGUUUGAAUUCACUUGCUACCCGUGUGGAUACCACCCAGCUUUGGUAAUAGCAGAUGCUAAUUGGAAAGUGUCCCACGGAAGAUUAUUUAAGUUAUCUGUGAAUCAGAAAUUCUGCAAUGAUGAUUAAGAUGAAGAUUUCUGACAUGCAUAUACAAAUAUGUGCCAAGAAUGAUUGUUGGAACUUUUAAAAGCUCUGAUCCAGAUAUGAUUUCUGACAAAGACCUGGAGGUAGACAUUGUAAAGACAUGGUCAGAUCUGGACAAGUCACUAAUAGUGGAAGGACUGAUAUCAGGAACAACUGUGACAAACCCAUUCUGCACACCUGUUCAUCACUCCACUUUGGCACCAGAGUUGGAAACAUACUCCUAAAAACUGAGGUCAAAAAGGCUAUGGAAAAAAAAAAAGAAAGCCAGAUGACAUCAAGCAUCACCCGAAACAGAUAAGGGACAUAGUACACGAAAUAAUUGAAUCAACGAACUUAUACAUUGGGCUAAUCUUACUCCGUAUUCUGUGACUGCGCAUAUAUACCCCUCCAUGAGGUUUUCUCAAUAUUUAUAUUGUUAUUUUUUUAUUAUAUUUUUGUUUUUUAUAAGGAGAUAUGUAGUGUUUUUCACAUGAUUUAAAUAUGUUAAUUUACAGCCUCAAAAAAAAGGAUCUCCAGGAUGCUUGCUAUGCCCUGGGUGUGUCCUCAGAGGGAUCCAUCGCUGAUAUGGAUGAUAAGGAUUUUAAAACCUUGUAAUAACUUGAAUGUGCUGUUUUUUCUGCUAUUGUUCAGGUGGAGUCCUUCAUUUCUCCCGUGUACAUGGUGUUGUGAACUAAGCUAAGUUUUAAGCACUUUCCAACCUGUUACAUUUCAACAAUCGCACUAAACAGCUGUUUUUCCAUAAACAUGAUGGAAGACUCUAUGCCCCAACCUUGGAAAAUAUAAAGCUUGCAGCCAACAAGCAAUUACAGGUUGAUUUGAACUUGGUGAAGCCGGUUAGCGACAGUACUGUUUUUUGGUAAUUAGUGGUGUAUAUUUUACACCAAAACGUGAAAUGUAAAGAGGUGGUUUGAAUUUAGGUGAAUGUUUAUUUUUGUCUUACACAGAAAUGACAUCCUGGAGUGUGUUCAAGCAGAAGCCAUUCUGACAGAUGGAGAGAUAAAGACCUAAUCCAGCGGCUGGAAAAAAUCCUGCCUGGAACUGUAGCUGAGAAGCAGCUAUUUAUUACCAAGGUGAUUUUGCCCGAGGU